ACGGUUAUGGCGAAAUUGGUAAACGCACUAGAUUUAGGCUCUAUUUUUUGGAGGUUCAAGUCCUCUUAACCGUA
rnacentral:tRNA from 1 species